CAGUUAUAUAUUAUUGAGAAUCAUUGCCUAGGUCGCAAGUUGUAGAGCUUGUGCAACUGUACAAUAUGAGCAUCAGGUCAAUUAACUUAAUUUUGUGGCCAAGGCAGCUAUUAUUAAAUCCAUUUUCUUGUUCCUUGGAUGUUGCACAAAAAUUGGGUUGUAUAUAUCUUCCUUAAAUCGAUGAUGUAUAUUGCAAUGUUAAGUUGAUACGAGUUCGUAGUUCUCUACCCCUUAGUCUGAUAUACAUUCUUCAUAUAUGUACUGCUUUUGCGCAGCUUAAGACAAGUGAUUUACUGAUUUAUUUUGUUGCAAGAUUAAGGGCUUACGGUUCUUUUAAUAGGAUACAUUCAUCUAGACAUUCCGGAUUUGUUUCGGUCCUUUAUACAUAAAAUAACUAGGGAUCCUCAUGAUCUAUGGCGAUAUUUGUGGCAGCAUCGAGAAAUACACAUGCACCCUGUUGUCCGGGCAGCUUGAAUGGAGGCGGAGCACGAGGCUCUGGCCAAGGACGAUGCUGGUUUCUAAAGGGAGCUUGUUUCUCAUUUUUAGUGGCAGGUGUGAUUCAUUUUCCUAUCCAUCUUCUAUGGCAAGAAUAAAACCAAUGUACGGAGGUAGCGCUUGCACAAGGGCUUGACAAGGCUAAGCUGGACGUUGAACAAGACCAACGCAUGUGACAAUCCACACCGAUGAGGAACCCAGGGACGAGUGGGUACGCAUGCACGGCCUACCCUCCGAUAGGUGGCGACACUGCCGCACAUGUGGAUCCGCACAUGUGGAUCGCCCGUGUGCACGCUUUAUGCUUGGUGGCGCAAAGUGUGAAGGUCAUGGGUGCCCCGAUCCACAAGAGAAUAAAGGAAACAAGUCAAGUUGACCUAGGAGAUUAAGAUUACAA